GUCUCUCUCAAAAAUGAAUAAACAUUUAAAAAAUUAAAAAAAAAAAGAUCUAUGAGGAAUUUUUCAAAUACUAGAGAGAAUAUAUUCAAGUAGCACUCUCUCACUAAUGGCAGAUUAUAUGAAGUUUGAAAAAAGAGGUAUAAACAAAGUUCCCCAGGAGCACAGACUAAGGGAAUAUCACCUUUAUGACUAUGGGAUUGGCCUCCCAUAAACUGAAUACCAACUUUAGAUGAUCAUUUUUUUUUUUAAAUCUUGGUCUCAGAUAUGUGUCCCACAAUAGCAAAGAAAUUUGUUUGAAAAUAAACAGAUAAUAAGUGAGCACCUGCAAGUUUUGAUGAAAGUUCCAUAUGUUCCAAGACAUUCCCUAUCAGGCUUGUGGCAUGACCAUCCAUUGGGUUAAGACUUUGAAAGGCCAUUACCUAUUCCCAGAAAAGCAGUCCAGCUGACAACAUAGUACAGAUUACCUUGGAUUGUUCAGCCCUGUCCUGGCAGAAAAGUAGAGUCUGAGGGAGUACAUGAUGGACAGUCAGGCCCAUAGAGAAGGCCCAGAAUACUCUUCACUGAAAAUAUUCUAACAGGGGCUGGAUGAUCACCUGCCAAAGAUACUGGGGCAGAUUUCUAUCCUUGGUAAAAAGCUGGUAAGAGUGCAUGACCUUGCAGAUGCUUCCCAUUCAGAAAUUUCAUGGUUCUUUUAUAAUAAGGUGUAUGUUAGGACCCAUAGUAGUGGGGAACUCUGGUUAGCCAAAGAGAAGCAUGAAAGAAUUAGGUGUUUGGACUGUCCUGCCUCUCUCCAGUAUAAAUAUUAGUGCUUAUCUUCACUCCUUUCCAGAAUCAAUCUUGAUUCAAAGAUCAACCCAGCGUAAAUAGGGAUCUGCCCUGUGCACUUACAUAGUUCUAAAUUGCAAAAUCCCUACUCCUUUUCCAGGAUCACAGACUAGAAUUCUGAUUCACUUCUCUUGAAUAUUCAAUAGAGAAGAACUGUUUUUAUCCCAGUCCCCUUGAUUAGAGCCCCUGCAUUCUGUCUAAUUACUUUCCUAAGCUUCUUACUGUCUUAUGACAUACUUCAGAAAAAAAACCCAUAAAUUUUUGAAGAAAAAUGUUAUAAAAUAUAAUAAACUUAUAUAUGCAUCCCAGCUUAAGAAAUAAAACACAACAGUGUAGAUGAAACCUUUCAUUUCUUCUCUCCUGAAUACACUUCAUAUUCAAUCCAGUGGCGAUCACAAUGAAACCUACUCAAAAAUUCCGCUUCCCCCUUUUUUUCUUCUUUGACAUGUAGGUAUUACUAUAUGUGCCAACUUCCCUUGCUGUAGGUCAGAGCAUGUGAUAGAAUUCUGGCCAAAAGAAUGUGAAUGGAAUGGAAGUACACCACUUCCAAAUCUAGCUCAUAAUCCUGAGUAUUCUCUAAGCUCUUUCCUUAACUGGCUGCAUAGAGAAGUUUCCAAAGUUCCCAAAGGGGGAUGGGGGACAACAAGGAACAGAAAUGGGUCUCUGAGUGACUGCAUGAAGCAGUUUUUCACUACCAACUUCACUGGAAUGAAACAUGAAUGAAGAGUGGACUUGUUUUGAGUUAGCCUCCUCUCACCAAUAGACUAGUCAUUUCCAUGCAGUUAUAUAAACUUUUACCCCCUGAAGAGGAGUCCCCAAUCAGCACAUAAUUUUCAUGUUUUCCAACUUACAAAAAUGGAACUAAAUCGCAUGUGUUUCUUCAGCAUCUUGUUUUUUUACUCACCAUUGCUUGUGAGAUCCUCCCAUGCUACAGAUGAUGAAACCAUGACUGAAGGGAACCAAGCAAUUUUUCUAGGGACCAGCAUCCAGAAAGGACAAUCAUGAAAUCAAAAUUUAUUCCAUCUCACACUUACUCCAGAACCCCGGGCUCUGUCUUUGGUAACUCCUAAAUGUGUUAAGAACAAGUAAACCAAAUUUUAAUCUUCCUGUCCAAGAGGAUGUUUGAUGAUAGAAUAAAAAUAAGCUCUUCUGUA